rnacentral:tRNA from 1 species
UAGGAUGUAGUGUAAAUGGUAGCACGAAGAAUUUUGAAUUCUUAGGCGUAGGUUCAAGUCCUAUAAUUCUAG